rnacentral:lncRNA from 1 species
CAACUUUUAAGAGGUUCACAUUAUAUAUACCCACAUACCUAUUACAUAUACCCACCUACCUAGUGAAAUAUCACCAUUAGAAAAGAACAUUUUUUCCUCAAAAUCAUGAAUAUGAAAAACCUCUUGAUCAUUUUGCUUAUUUUCUCAUUUGCUUUUGGUAUGAAUUAUGAUACUUGAUUUUUUUUGUUGUUGUGAAUUUUCACGAAUUUCUUGUUUAUUAAAUUAACUAUACUAUGAAUUUAUUUGUGCAGGAAAGCCUGUGGCAUUGAAAAUCCCGAAACCAAAAAGGUGUGAAUUUGUUGAACGUGACUAUUGUGACCCGUGGAGGGGUUUCUUUUGCCAAGAAUUUUGCAUGAUGAAUUGUCCAUCAUUUACUGCGAAAGGAGUUUGUACCAAAGACAGAGUUUGUCAUUGUCAUUGUUGUGAAUAAAAUGUUAUUUGUGACUAUGGAAUAUUCACUAUGUGAAUUGUUAGCUAAUAAUAAAUAAAUUAAUAAAAUGCACCCAUUGCUCUAGAUCAAAAUAUUUUUUUUGCUA